rnacentral:rRNA from 1 species
GAUGAACGCUGGCGGCGUGCCUAAUACAUGCAAGUCGAGCGAACAGACGAGGAGCUUGCUCCUCUGACGUUAGCGGCGGACGGGUGAGUAACACGUGGAUAACCUACCUAUAAGACUGGGAUAACUUCGGGAAACCGGAGCUAAUACCGGAUAACAUGUUGAACCGCAUGGUUCAACAGUGAAAGACGGUCUUGCUGUCUCUUAUAGAUGGAUCCGCGCCGCAUUAGCUAGUUGGUAAGGUAACGGCUUACCAAGGCAACGAUGCGUAGCCGACCUGAGAGGGUGAUCGGCCACACUGGAACUGAGACACGGUCCAGACUCCUACGGGAGGCAGCAGUAGGGAAUCUUCCGCAAUGGGCGAAAGCCUGACGGAGCAACGCCGCGUGAGUGAAGAAGGUCUUCGGAUCGUAAAACUCUGUUAUUAGGGAAGAACAAAUGUGUAAGUAACUAUGCACGUCUUGACGGUACCUAAUCAGAAAGCCACGGCUAACUACGUG